rnacentral:rRNA from 1 species
GCUCAGGGUGAACGCUGGCGGCGUGCCUAAGACAUGCAAGUCGAGCGGGGCAGGUUUAUGCCUGUCCAGCGGCGGACGGGUGAGUAACGCGUGGGUGACCUACCCGGAAGAGGCGGACAACCUGGGGAAACCCAGGCUAAUCCGCCAUGUGGUCCUGUCCUGUGGGGUAGGACUAAAGGGUGGAUAGCCCGCUUCCGGAUGGGCCCGCGUCCCAUCAGCUAGUUGGUGGGGUAAAGGCCCACCAAGGCGACGACGGGUGGCCGGUCUGAGAGGAUGGCCGGCCACAGGGGCACUGAGACACGGGCCCCACUCCUACGGGAGGCAGCAGUUAGGAAUCUUCCGCAAUGGACGGAAGUCUGACGGAGCGACGCCGCUUGGAGGAGGAAGCCCUUCGGGGUGUAAACUCCUGAACUGGGGACGAAAGCCCCGUGUAGGGGGAUGACGGUACCCAGGUAAUAGCGCCGGCCAACUCCGUGCCAGCAGCCGCGGUAAUACGGAGGGCGCGAGCGUUACCCGGAUUUACUGGGCGUAAAGGGCGUGUAGGCGGCCUGGGGCGUCCCAUGUGAAAGGCCACGGCUCAACUGUGGAGGAGCGUGGGAUACGCUCAGGCUAGAGGGUGGGAGAGGGUGGUGGAAUUCCCGGAGUAGCGGUGAAAUGCGCAGAUACCGGGAGGAACGCCGAUGGCGAAGGCAGCCACCUGGUCCACUUCUGACGCUGAGGCGCGAAAGCGUGGGGAGCAAACCGGAUUAGAUACCCGGGUAGUC